AUGAACGCUGGCGGCGUGCUUAAUACAUGCAAGUCGAACGAAGAGCCCUUAACCGAAGAUGAUGACGUGCUUGCACUGAAUCUGAUUCACCUUAGGGUACUGAGUGGCGGACGGGUGAGUAACGCGUGGGUAACCUGCCUUAGACAGGGGGAUAACAUCAAGAAAUUGGUGCUAAUACCGCAUAUGCUCACAGUAUCGCAUGAUACAGUGAGGAAAACUCCGGUGGUCUAAGAUGGACCCGCGUCUGAUUAGCUAGUUGGAGGGGUAACGGCCCACCAAGGCGACGAUCAGUAGCCGACUUGAGAGAGUGAUCGGCCACAUUGGGACUGAGACACGGCCCAAACUCCUACGGGAGGCAGCAGUAGGGAAUAUUGCACAAUGGGGGGAACCCUGAUGCAGCGACGCCGCGUGAAGGAUGAAGUAUUUCGGUAUGUAAACUUCUAUCAGCAAGGAAGAAAAUGACGGUACUUGACUAAGAAGCCCCGGCUAAAUACGUGCCAGCCGCCGC
rnacentral:rRNA from 1 species